rnacentral:rRNA from 1 species
UACGUAGGGUGCGAGCGUUGUCCGGAAUUAUUGGGCGUAAAGAGCUCGUAGGCGGCUUGUCACGUCGGGUGUGAAAGCCCGGGGCUUAACCCCGGGUCUGCAUUCGAUACGGGCAGGCUAGAGUGUGGUAGGGGAGAUCGGAAUUCCUGGUGUAGCAGUGAAAUGCGUAGAGAUCGUAAGGAAGACCAGUGGCGAAGGCGGGUCUCUGGACAGUUCCUGACACUGAGGCACGAAGGCCAGGGGAGCAAACGGG